rnacentral:tRNA from 1 species
UCCCGUGUAGCUCAGUUGGUAGAGCAUGGUGUUUGCAACGCCAGGGUUGUGGUUUCGUUUCCCACGGGGG